rnacentral:rRNA from 1 species
UAACGAAGGGGGCUAGCGUUGCUCGGAAUCACUGAGCGUAAAGCGCACGUAGGCGGAUUGUUAAGUCAGGGGUGAAAUCCUGGAGCUCAACUCCAGAACUGCCUUUGAUACUGGCGAUCUUUGAGUCCGGGGAGAGGUGAGUGGAACUGCGAGUGUAGAGGUGAAAUUCGUAGAUAUUCGCAAGAACACCAGUGGCGAAGGCGGCUCACUGGCCCGGUACUGACGCUGAGGUGCGAAAGCGUGGGGAGCAAACAGGGAUUAAGAA